rnacentral:rRNA from 1 species
UACAGAGGGCGCAAGCGUUGUCCGGAAUUAUUGGGCGUAAAGAGCUCGUAGGCGGCCUGUUGCGUCCGCUGUGAAAUCCCGGGGCUUAACCCCGGGCGUGCAGUGGAUACGGGCAGGCUGGAGGCAGGCAGGGGAGAACGGAAUUCCCGGUGUAGCGGUGAAAUGCGCAGAUAUCGGGAGGAACACCGGUGGCGAAGGCGGUUCUCUGGGCCUGUACUGACGCUGAGGAGCGAAAGCGUGGGGAGCGAACAGG